rnacentral:rRNA from 1 species
AACAGGAUUAGAUACCCUGGUAGUCCAUGCCGUAAACGGUGGGCGCUAGGUGUGGGGUUCCUUCCACGGGCUCCGCGCCGUAGCUAACGCAUUAAGCGCCCCGCCUGGGGAGUACGGCCGCAAGGCUAAAACUCAAAGAAAUUGACGGGGGCCCGCACAAGCGGCGGAGCAUGUGGAUUAAUUCGAUGCAACGCGAAGAACCUUACCUGGGCUUGACAUAUAGAGGAUCGCUACAGAGAUGUGGUUUCCCUUGUGGCUUCUAUACAGGUGGUGCAUGGUUGUCGUCAGCUCGUGUCGUGAGAUGUUGGGUUAAGUCCCGCAACGAGCGCAACCCUUGUCUUAUGUUGCCAGCACGUUAUGGUGGGGACUCGUGAGAGACUGCCGGGGUCAACUCGGAGGAAGGUGGGGAUGACGUCAAAUCAUCAUGCCCCUUAUGUCCAGGGCUUCACACAUGCUACAAUGGCCGGUACAGAGGGCUGCGAUGCCGUGAGGCGGAGCGAAUCUCUUAAAGCCGGUCUCAGUUCGGAUUGGGGUCUGCAACUCGACCCCAUGAAGUCGGAGUCGCUAGUAAUCGCAGAUCAGCAACGCUGCGGUGAAUACGUUCCCGGGCCUUGUACACACCGCCCGUCACGUCAUGAAAGUCGGUAACACCCGAAGCCGGUGGCCUAACCCUUGUGGAGGGAGCCGUUGAAGGUGGGAUUGGCGAUUGGGACGAAGUCGUAACAAGGUAACCGUA